rnacentral:snRNA from 1 species
GGAUGUGAGGGGGAUCUGGCUGCGACAUCUGUCACCCCAUUGAUUGCCAGGGUUGAAUCGGCUGAUCUGGCUGGCUAGGUGGGUGGCCCCUUCCUCCCUCACCGCUCCAUGUGCGUCCCUUCUGAAGCUGCACGCUCAGUUGAAGAGGACCACCUUCCCCGAAUAGAGACCGACCGGUCGGUCUUCGGUCGAGGGUAUACAAGUAGCUGCGCUCCCCUGCUAGAACCUCCAAACAAGCUCUCAUUAUAGAACCCUGAGGGCUAAUAUACUACUGCUAGAUCAUGAAAAUAAUUA